AUUGAACGCUGGCGGCAGGCUUAACACAUGCAAGUCGAGCGAGCGGCGGACGGGUGAGUAAUGUCUGGGAAACUGCCUGAUGGAGGGGGAUAACUACUGGAAACGGUAGCUAAUACCGCAUACCAUCAGAUGUGCCCAGAUGGGAUUAGCUAGUAGGUGGGGUAAUGGAUCACCUAGGCGACGAUCCCUAGCUGGUCUGAGAGGAUGACCAGCCACACGGGAAUUGUGACAAGGUCCAUACUCCUACGGGAGGCAGCAGUGGGGAAUAUUGCACAAUGGGCGCAAGCCUGAUGCAGCCAUGCCGCGUGUAUGAAGAAGGCCUUAGGGUUUGAAAGUACUUGCAGCGGGGAGGCGUUACCCGCAGAAGAAGCACAGGCUAACUCCGUGACAGCAGCCGCGGUAAUAC
rnacentral:rRNA from 1 species